rnacentral:rRNA from 1 species
UCGGGAAUUUUGGGCAAUGGGCGCAAGCCUGAUCCAGCCAUGCCGCGUGAGUGAUGAAGGUCUUCGGAUUGUAAAACUCUUUUCGCCGGGGAAGAUAAUGACGGUACCCGGAGAAGAAGCUCCGGCUAACUUCGUGCCAGCAGCCGCGGUAAUACGAAGGGAGCUAGCGUUGUUCGGAAUUACUGGGCGUAAAGCGCACGUAGGCGGAUUUUUAAGUCAGGGGUGAAAUCCCAAGGCUCAACCUUGGAACUGCCUUUGAUACUGGAAGUCUUGAGAUCGGGAGAGGUGAGUGGAAUUCCUAGUGUAGAGGUGAAAUUCGUAGAUAUUAGGAAGAACACCAGUGGCGAAGGCGGCUCACUGGCCCGAUACUGACGCUGAGGUGCGAAAGCGUGGGGAGCAAACAGGAUUAGAUACCCCUGUAGUCCCUGAGCGGGCUGGCAAGGCGCAU